AUGAUGAGCUACCUUUCGUCAAAACAAAUUCCAAUUCUUACAAGGUUAGGCGACUUUAUUUGGAGACAACCGAUUCUAACUGUGAAAACAAGCACCAAGCAAUCCAGGACAGGGCAACUGGAGUGGAUGAUGCUGUGCAAUGAGGCCUCUGAUAUACGAACCCGCACAAGUGAAAGUUUCUUGAGAAAUGGGAGUCGAAGGUUUAGUACCAGAUUGUCUGGUAGGUCACACAGCGCAAAACUGGCGGUGUGGAGAGAGGAGGAAAACCGCGAGAUGGACAUCGGUGCUGAGGGCACAGGUAGAUGGCCUUCGGUAUUUGGUAGGUGA
rnacentral:rRNA from 1 species